CGGGAUACUGAGCGAAGGACUAACACAUUGUUGGUUUUUGUCUUUUCAUGGGAUUUGUGGACAAUGCGCUGUUGAAAUAUCUAAAAUCCACCUCCUGCAAAUCCUGGGCCAUCUACAGUCAUCACUGCUUCAACAGCAUCAAGUGAUCCUCCUGUCCUGUCAUUUCUUGUAUUAUUUAUUUCUAAUUUAUUAUUUUCUUGUUAACUGUUUUGAUUGAGCAACUUGUUUCUCUAAAAAUAAAAGAAAAUGUCAAAGACAAA